AAAACCUAGUUCAUCAUUUUCUUCAAAUUGAAAGGUGAAUUAGGGCCAAAUCACAUGCAUGAACAUAAAUUAGUGAUCAUCUAAGCUUGGAGAUCAUAAGUUUAACUCUUGACAAGCUAGAUGGGAGCUUGGAACGAAAUGGAUCAAGCGGGUCAAAGACGCGAGAAAACAUGAUCGGACGCACGGCUUUCGCAAAGGUGUAAACCGGACGAAUGACCAAGCACGUGAAGAACCAAACACUAUUAAACUGCUAACUCUUUGGAAAGGAUUAUGAAAAGGUUGAAGCAUGAUCAUGCAAAACAAAGUUUUCGAGUUUAGAACUUUAAUGCUUUUAAGUGUAAUAGUUCGUUAUGUCGGGUCGUCUAGGUUAUCAGUUAACCCAAACGUAUAAGUUCUAUGUUUAAAAAAAUCUAUG